CGUAGCUCAGCCGGAUAGAGCACCGGCCUUCUAAGCCGGGUGUCGGGGGUUCGAAUCCCUUCG
rnacentral:tRNA from 1 species